rnacentral:rRNA from 1 species
UACGUAGGGUGCAAGCGUUUGUCCGGAAUUAUUGGGCGUAAAGAGCUCGUAGGCGGUCUGUCGCGUCUGCUGUGAAAACCUAGGGCUUAACUCUGGGCGUGCAGUGGGUACGGGCAGGCUAGAGUGCGGUAGGGGAGACUGGAAUUCCUGGUGUAGCGGUGAAAUGCGCAGAUAUCAGGAGGAACACCGGUGGCGAAGGCAGGUCUCUGGGCAUUAACUGACGCUGAGGAGCGAAAGCAUGGGGAGCGAACAGG